GGGAUCGGCAUCCUGACAGUGAUCCUGGGAGUCUUACUGCUCAUCGGCUGUUGGUAUUGUAGAAGACGAAAUGGAUACAGAGCCUUGAUGGAAAUCCUGGGAUGGAGCGCAGUGGUGAACAUGAGUCACUGUAGCCUUGACCUCCUGGGCUCAAGCCAUCCUCCUGUCUCAGCCUCCAGAGUAGCUGGGACCACAGGAUAAAAGUCUUCAUGUUGGCACUCAAUGUGCCUUAACAAGAAGAUGCCCACAAGAAGGGUUUGAUCAUCGGGACAGCAAAGUGUCUCUUCAAGAGAAAAACUGUGAACCUGUGGUAGGUUAAGAUCCUUCAUAAGGGUAUUUUCAUGAAUGGCUGUUUUUAACUCAAGUGAAUACAAUUAUUUCCAUUUAAAAAGCAAGGACAAUGUGAAUGUACUCAUUGCCACUGAACUAUAUACACCUAAAAAUGGUUAAAAUGGCAACUUUUAUGUGUAUUUUAUGAGAAUAAAAAAUAAAUAAUAAUAA
rnacentral:lncRNA from 10 species